rnacentral:rRNA from 1 species
GAUGAACGCUGGCGGCGUGCCUAAUACAUGCAAGUCGAGCGAACGGACGAGAAGCUUGCUUCUCUGAUGUUAGCGGCGGACGGGUGAGUAACACGUGGAUAACCUACCUAUAAGACUGGGAUAACUUCGGGAAACCGUAGCUAAUACCGGAUAAUAUUUUGAACCGCAUGGUUCAAAAGUGAAAGACGGUCUUGCUGUCACUUAUAGAUGGAUCCGCGCUGCAUUAGCUAGUUGGUAAGGUAACGGCUUACCAAGGCAACGAUGCAUAGCCGACCUGAGAGGGUGAUCGGCCACACUGGAACUGAGACAAGGUCCAGACUCCUACGGGAGGCAGCAGUAGGGAAUCUUCCGCAAUGGGCGAAAGCCUGACGGAGCAACGCCGCGUGAGUGAUGAAGGUCUUCGGAUCGUAAAACUCUGUUAUUAGGGAAGAACAUAUGUGUAAGUAACUGUGCACAUCCUGACGGUACCUAAUCAGAAAGCCACGGCUAACUACGUG